rnacentral:rRNA from 1 species
UCCCAGACUCCUACGGGAGGCAGCAGUGGGGAAUAUUGCACAAUGGGGGGAACCCUGAUGCAGCAAUGCCGCGUGGGUGAAGAAGCACUCCGGUGCGUAAAGCCCUGUCAGCAGGGAAGAAAAUGACAGUACCUGGACAAGAAGCCCCGGCUAACUACGUGCCAGCAGCCGCGGUAAUACGUAGGGGGCAAGCGUUAUCCGGAUUUACUGGGUGUAAAGGGAGCGCAGGCGGCGUGGCAAGUCAGAUGUGAAAACCCGGGGCCCAACCCCUGGACUGCUCUGGAAACUGUUGUACUUGAGUGCAGGAGAGGUAAGUGGAAUUCCUAGUGUAGCGGUGAAAUGCGUAGAUAUUAGGAGGAACACCAGUGGCGAAGGCGGCUUACUGGACUGUAACUGACGUUGAGGCUCGAAAGCGUGGGGAGCAAACAGGAUUAGAUACCCGUGUA